GUAGUCCACGCCGUAAACGAUGCUAACUCGUUUNGGGCCYUUCGGGUUCAGAGAUUAAGCGAAAGUGAUAAGUUAGCCACCUGGGGAGUACGUUCGCAAGAAUGAAACUCAAAGGAAUUGACGGGGGCCCGCACAAGCGGUGGAUUAUGUGGUUUAAUUCGAUGAUACGCGAGGAACCUUACCAAGGCUUAAAUGGGAAUUGAUCGGUUUAGAAAUAGACCUUCCUUCGGGCAAUUUUCAAGGUGCUGCAUGGUUGUCGUCAGCUCGUGCCGUGAGGUGUUAGGUUAAGUCCUGCAACGAGCGCAACCCCUGUCAUUAGUUGCUAGCAUUAAGUUGAGGACUCUAGUGAGACUGCCUACGCAAGUAGAGAGGAAGGUGGGGAUGACGUCAAAUCAUCACGGCCCUUACGCGUUGGGCCACACACGUAAUACAAUGGCCGGUACAGAGGGCAGCUACACAGCGAUGUGAUGCAAAUCUCGAAAGCCGGUCUCAGUUCGGAUUGGAGUCUGCAACUCGACUCUAUGAAGCUGGAAUCGCUAGUAAUCGCGCAUCAGCCAUGGCGCGGUGAAUACGUUCCCGGGCCUUGUACACACCGCCCGUCAAGCCAUGGAAGUCUGGGGUACCUGAAGUCGGUGACCGUAACAGGAGCUGCCUAGGGUAAAACAGGUAACUAGGGCU
rnacentral:rRNA from 1 species